rnacentral:rRNA from 1 species
GAUGAACGCUGGCGGCGUGCCUAAUACAUGCAAGUCGAGCGAACAGACGCGGAGCUUGCUCCUCUGACGUUAGCGGCGGACGGGUGAGUAACACGUGGAUAACCUACCUAUAAGACUGGGAUAACUUCGGGAAACCGGAGCUAAUACCGGAUAAUAUAUUGAACCGCAUGGUGCAAUAGUGAAAGACGGUUUUGCUGUCACUUAUAGAUGGAUCCGCGCCGCAUUAGCUAGUUGGUAAGGUAACGGCUUACCAAGGCAACGAUGCGUAGCCGACCUGAGAGGGUGAUCGGCCACACUGGAACUGAGACACGGUCCAGACUCCUACGGGAGGCAGCAGUAGGGAAUCUUCCGCAAUGGGCGAAAGCUUGACGGAGCAACGCCGCGUGAGUGAUGAAGGUCUUCGGAUCGUAAAACUCUGUUAUUAGGGAAGAACAAAUGUGUAAGUAACUAUGCACGUCUUGACGGUACCUAAUCAGAAAGCCACGGCUAACUACGUG